AAAGUCUCUAUCGAGGUUAAAGGUACCCGUACCGCAUACCGACACAGUUGGGUGAGUAGAGUAUCCGAAGGCCAGCGAGUGAACUGUUGUUAGGGAACUCGGCAAAAUGACCCCGUAACUUAGGGAUAAGGGGUGCCAAGAUUAGGUGGCCGCAGAGAAUAGGCCCAAGCGACUGUUUACCAAAAACAUAGGUUUCUGCUAAGUCGCAAGACGAUGUAUAGGAGCUGACGCCUGCACGGUGCUGGAAGGUUAAGGGGAUCUGUUAGAGUAAUCGAAGCAGUGAACUUAAGCCCCAGUAAACGGCGGCCGUAACUAUAACGGUCCUAAGGUAGCGAAAUUCCUUGUCGGGUAAGUUACGACCCGCACGAAAGGCGUAACGAUUUGGGCACUGUCGCAACAACAGAAUCGGUGAAAUUGGAAUUCUGGGGAUGAUGCAGGG
rnacentral:rRNA from 1 species